ACAAUUCAACUUCUCAAUUCUCUGUGAUCGACUAAUCCACUAUAUCUUCUAUCUCUGUAACCCCCUCUUAAUCAAUGUUCUUUUUUGUCCAAAAAAAAAAUCAAUGUUCUUUUUAUACCUUCUGGCUGGUUUCGUUCCACCUUACGUUCAUCCUCCUCCUAUAUAAAUGGCUUCGUCUAAACCUAAAUCCUAUCAAAAUCGAAACCUAGCAGUAAGAUCAACUGAAACCACUAAUCACCGUAGAGCUCCUUCUGAUCGAUGAGCAGCCUCUGAGCAAUAAUAUUUUAAACGAUGGAGAUGACCACAAUCUCUAGUGUGGAAUUGGAAGAGGAUAAUUUUGGAGGAAGCUUAAGGUAUCAAGGGGCUGCCACUCGCCUAAUAGAUGCAUGUUGGACUCACGUUAUGUACUUUGAAAGGAGGAGUAUAUUUUAAGUGGCUCACAAUAUAAAAAAAACUCCCUCAGAAAAUGUUUCAGGUACUGCAGAUGUUAAAUUUCAGCUAAUGCAUUUGUACGCGGCUAAAGUGAGAGUGACUUUGUUUUUCCUUCUCCUGAGUCUCCCAAGGUUUGGGAUUUUUUUUGCAUAAAAUGGGUAGAGGGAGAUGAAAGUAGCGUAGAAGAUAUUGCAGGGCACAUGAAGAAAAAUAACAUAUUUGGAUUGACGAGUGAAGACAUUUUAUUGGUAAAAUCAAAUUCAGCAUCAAUUCAACGUUCAUGAGAGAGAGGCAUACAAAGUAGCUAAAAAAAUAUUGACCAAGGUGAAGUUGUUGAACCAGACAAGGUUUCCUAUGGACUAAUGGAAAAGGGUUGAUUUGAUGGUCUGAUAACAAUAUCUCAAGAAAGAGAAUGACGAUGUGGAUGUCAAAUUUGGUAAAGGCUGGCUGCUUCUUUACAGGAUUGACAUAGAAAGGUCACACAUGAUGAAGUUGCAGCUGCCGCGAUGUACGAUCAUUCAGAUUCAAUCGUGUUUCAGGUAUAAACAAUAGAGAAAAGUGAGUCUGCAGGUAUUAUUCUUUGGGCCAUAUGUUUCUGUGUGACCCAUAAAACAUAGUUGACACCUCAAAACAUUAUUGUCAUGUUUGUUUCUCAGUGGUGUUGCUGUGUGAAUGGUGAUGGAAUAUGCAGACAAUAUUGUAUAUUUGAUAAACUGGCAAAUACAUAUUCAAUUCGCCAGCAGAUCCUUGAGCAGUAGUUCAUUUUUGUACAUGGAAUUUAAUCUUUAUCAGUCUGUAUCUAGGUUUAUUUCACAUAGUGGAACUGCUUAUCACUGCAGUUCUCUCUAUUGUCUAUGUAUACUUAUUCAGUUUUCAUGUAUCCUUAGCUUUCUACCUGGAUUCAAGUAAGUUAACCGCAUUUUCCUCUGUCAAUACAAUUCACAUUUUACUCA